UACGUAGGAGGCGAGCGUUGUCCGGAUUUAUUGGGCGUAAAGAGCGCGUAGGCGGCUUGGCAAGUCGGGUGUGAAAUCCCCUGGCUUAACUGGGGGGGGUCAUCCGAUACUGCUGGGCUUGAGGCAGGCAGAGGAAGGUAGAAUUCCCGGUGUAGUGGUGAAAUGCGUAGAUAUCGGGAGGAAUACCAGUGGCGAAGGCGGCCUUCUGGGCCUGUACUGACGCUGAGGUGCGAAAGCGUGGGGAGCGAACCGG
rnacentral:rRNA from 1 species